rnacentral:rRNA from 1 species
GAUGAACGCUGGCGGCGUGCCUAAUACAUGCAAGUCGAGCGAACAGACGAGGAGCUUGCUCCUCUGACGUUAGCGGCGGACGGGUGAGUAACACGUGGAUAACCUACCUAUAAGACUGGGAUAACUUCGGGAAACCGGAGCUAAUACCGGAUAAUAUAUUGAACCGCAUGGUUCAAUAGUGAAAGACGGUUUUGCUGUCACUUAUAGAUGGAUCCGCGCCGCAUUAGCUAGUUGGUAAGGUAACGGCUUACCAAGGCAACGAUGGGUAAACGACCUGAGAGGGUGACCGCCCACACUGGAACUGAGAUACGGUCCUGAGUCCUACGGGACGUGGCAGUAGGGAAGAUGACGCAAUGGGCGAAAGCCUGACGCAGCAGUGCCGCGCGAGUGAUGAAGGCCGUCUGAUCGUAAGACCCUGUGAUUAGGGAAGAACAAGUGUGUAAGCAAAUAUGCCCGUCUUGACGGUACCUAAUCAGAAAGCCAAGGUUAACUUCGUG